GUGAAUUAAAUCCGGUAAGUCUCCACUGAAGGCACAGGUACCAAAUGCACGGCCCGCCACUGAGAUUACUAAAGGUCUGAGUACCUAGAAAUGAAGACUAACUGGAGGAUGACUUGUAUAAAGCUGCAAGUGACAGACCUGCUGAGUACAUUUAACUCCAGAACUUAGGAGGUGCACAGUGAAGAAGAUAACCCAAAAUGUCGUGGGCUUGCACUACAAACCUCCAGACAUUUCAGAUGAUUGAGGGUAAACAAAAAUGGGAAUUGUUAAAGUGAAUGGUGCUUGAUGGCGAUGAACCCGGCAGAGGGACG